UACGGGGUAGGACGAGCGUUGUCCGGAAUCAUUGGGCGUAAAGAGCGUGUAGGCGGCCUUUUAAGUCCUGCGUGAAAUCCUGCGGCUCAACCGCAGACGGUCGUGGGAAACUGGAAGGCUAGAGUGCGGGAGAGGAGAGUGGAAUUCCCGGUGUAGCGGUGAAAUGCGCAGAUAUCGGGAAGAACACCCGUGGCGAAGGCGGCUCUCUGGAACGCAACUGACGCUGAGACGCGAAAGCGUGGGGAGCAAACAGG
rnacentral:rRNA from 1 species